CGGGUCGCAGCAGAAGUCUGACGGAGCACGCCGCGUGAACGAAGAAGGCCUUCGGGUCGUAAAGUUCUGUUGUUAGGGAAGAACAAGUACCAGAGUAACUGCUGGUACCUUGACGGUACCUAACCAGAAAGCCACGGCUAACUACGUGCCAGCAGCCGCGGUAAUACGUAGGUGGCAAGCGUUGUCCGGAAUUAUUGGGCGUAAAGCGCGCGCAGGUGGUUCCUUAAGUCUGAUGUGAAAGCCCACGGCUCAACCGUGGAGGGUCAUUGGAAACUGGGGAACUUGAGUGCAGAAGAGGAAAGUGGAAUUCCAAGUGUAGCGGUGAAAUGCGUAGAGAUUUGGAGGAACACCAGUGGCGAAGGCGACUUUCUGGUCUGUAACUGACACUGAGGCGCGAAAGCGUGGGGAGCAAACAGGAUUAGAUACCCUGGUAGUCCACGCCGUAAACGAUGAGUGCUAAGUGUUAGAGGGUUUCCGCCCUUUAGUGCUGCAGCUAACGCAUUAAGCACUCCGCCUGGGGAGUACGGCCGCAAGGCUGAAACUCAAAGAAAUUUGACGG
rnacentral:rRNA from 2 species